rnacentral:misc_RNA from 1 species
UCAAACUUGGUCAUUUAGAGGAAGUAAAAGUCGUAACAAGGUUUCCGUAGGUAAGUAUUUGAAUGCCAUUUAUCUCUCUAUGCUUGGAUAACGUGCUAACUUAUUUAGGUGAACCUGCGGAAGGAUCAUUACUGAGUGCGCCCCCCUGUAAAAAAGGGGGUACCUCCCGUCCUUUGCUGGGCCCCUAGAGGGCUUUUUCAAACUUCUGCUUCGGUGGGGUUACCCGCCGAAACACCCUCAAAAACUCUUUGAUAAACCGUUCCGUCCGAGAGCUUUGUAUGAAUUAGAAAACUUUCAACAACGGAUCUCUUGGUUCUGGCAUCGAUGAAGAACGCAGC